rnacentral:hammerhead_ribozyme from 1 species
AUCCAGCUGACCAGUACCAAAUAGAACGAAACGCAAGUCCUGAAU